AUUGAACGCUGGCGGCAGGCCUAACACAUGCAAGUCGAGCGGUUGAGGUAGCUUGCUACCGAUACAGCGGCGGACGGGUGAGUAAUACAUGGGAAUCUGCCUGGUAGUGGGGGACAACGUUUCGAAAGGAGCGCUAAUACCGCAUACGCCCUACGGGGGAAAGGGGGGGAUCUUCGGACCUCUCGCUAUCAGAUGAGCCCAUGUCAGAUUAGCUUGUAGGUGAGGUAAAGGCUCACCAAGGCGACGAUCUGUAACUGGUCUGAGAGGAUGAUCAGUCACACUGGAACUGAGACACGGUCCAGACUCCUACGGGAGGCAGCAGUGGGGAAUAUUGGACAAUGGGCGCAAGCCUGAUCCAGCCAUGCCGCGUGUGUGAAGAAGGCCUUAGGGUUGUAAAGCACUUUCAGUGGGGAGAAAGGCCUUUUACUUAAUACGUAAGAGGAUAGAUGUUACCCACAGAAGAAGCACCGGCUAACUCCGUGCCAGCAGCCGCCGUAA
rnacentral:rRNA from 1 species